rnacentral:rRNA from 1 species
CCUACGGGGGGCAGCAGUGAGGAAUAUUGGUCAAUGGCCGGAAGGCUGAACCAGCCAUGCCGCGUGAAGGUCAGUGCCCUAUGGGCGUUAAACUUCUUUUGUGCGGGAGCAAUAAUGGUCACGUGUGGCCAGACGAGAGUACCGUACGAAUAAGCAUCGGCUAACUCCGUGCCAGCAGCCGCGGUAAUAUGGGGGAUGCAAGCGUUAUCCGGAUUUAUUGGGUUUAAAGGGUGCGUAGGCUGUGAGGUAAGUCAGCGGUGAAAUGCCCCAGCUCAACGGGGUGAAGUGCCAUUGAUUCUGCCUGGCUGGAAUGCGGAUGCCGGGGGAGGAAUGUGUGGUGUAGCGGUGAAAUGCAUAGAUAUCACACAGAACACCGAUUGCGAAGGCAUCUCACGAAUCCGCGAUUGACGCUGAUGCACGAAAGCGUGGGUAUCAAACAGGAUUAGAUACCCGAGUAGUC